UGGGGAAUAUUGCACAAUGGGCGCAAGCCUGAUGCAGCCAUGCCGCGUGUGUGAAGAAGGCCUUCGGGUUGUAAAGCACUUUCAGCGAGGAGGAAGGUGGUGGACUUAAUACGUUCAUCAAUUGACGUUACUCGCAGAAGAAGCACCGGCUAACUCCGUGCCAGCAGCCGCGGUAAUACGGAGGGUGCAAGCGUUAAUCGGAAUUACUGGGCGUAAAGCGCACGCAGGCGGUUUGUUAAGUCAGAUGUGAAAUCCCCGGGCUCAACCUGGGAACUGCAUUUGAACUGGCAAGCUAGAGUCUCGUAGAGGGGGUAGAAUUCCAGGUGGUAGCGGUGAAAUGCGUAGAGAUCUGGAGGAAUACCGGUGGCGAAGGCGGCCCCCUGGACGAAGACUGAGCCGCUCAGGUGCGAAAGCGUGGGGAGCAAACAGGUUAGGAUACCCUGGUAGUCACGCCUGUAAACGAUGUCNACUUUGGAGGUUGUGCCCUUGAGGCGUGGCUUCCGGAGCUAACGCGUUAAAUCGACCGCCU
rnacentral:rRNA from 1 species